AACACCAUCUAGGUCACAACAUGACUAAAAAUGGAAUCAGUUGCUGAAAGGGAGGGUUUUGCUUCUAAUUCCUACCGUUCAUACAUGUAUAAAGUAAAGACAUACGUGAUGAACAGAACGGUUCACUGUUCUGUGGAAGAAAGACAAUUCAGCUUUGUUGAACUUCACGCACGAUAUUGCUGAAGAAGCCAUUACUGCUGUGUCCAGGAAACUGAAUAAAGAUGGGAAAGAAGUGGGCACCAAUGGGAUUGCGGAAUUUUAUCCAAUAAGCGAGGGCAUAACAACAGCUGACAAAAUUAAAGCUAUACUUACAAACGGUCCUCUCAUCUGAAAAACAAGGAUCAGGGGCUAAACCUUCCCAGAUUUUCCUGGACAUUUUUGUCAAAUUUCUCUGUGAGGCCUCAUGAGUUUUCUCAUACAAUUAUCAUAAACUCUCAUCCAAUGCUAGCCUGAAUCUCCCACUUGCCAUAACUGGGAGCAGUCACCACUGCCAGGAUAUCAUGGGAUAUCCUGGGAUUCCUGGGUGAGCACUAUAUUUAAAAGGCUGUUGCACACCCAGUCACGCCUGGCAGUCCACAGCUGUCCUGAAUGGCUGUAGACAUUUUCGCCAAAUAUGGCAGACAAGGGGAAACCUGGUGCUCUAUUAUGGGGACAGCAGCCUGAAGAUCCUGCUGGAUAACAUGGUUCAGAAGGAGGUCAUCUUCUUCCCUCAGGACUGGCAGAUGAAGCCAUAACACCAGAUCCUCUGCCAGCCUGGUCCACUGCAGUCUGCACAGCCCAGAAAAAUACCGAGCAAUGCAGGAAAGUGGUCAAUUGCCUUCUCCAUUCUGCCAGGGUAAAUACCACAAUCUGCUCUCUGUUACCUCACACUCUCUUUUUCUGCUACUGCACUAACCUCCCAUGAAGUCUCAUGCUCUACCACUCUCACUAUUGCUUUCAAAGUUUUCUUUCACACAACCUCGCCAAGCCCCAACGCCCCACAUUUGUCAAUCUGCAUGCCCUCUAGGCUGUUUACACACUCACUUGGAUCACUUCAACUUCCCCACACCUACACUUGUACUAACAGCUGUGCCACCUACUUUCACCUUAUCCAAUCUCUCAUUCCAGGAGAAAACAGCCUACAAUAGGGCUGAAAGAGCAGGGGCUGGAUAUUCAUCUCCUCAAUCACUUUGAGGAAAAGAUCUUGGCCCUGGCAUCCUAAGGGGAUGCAAAAAUCUCCUUGUGUCUUGAAAUCAAAUACCACCAGGAGUUCCAUGGUGACUUUAGUAAAAAGGGCUGCUGCACAAGACUUAUCCUCCUCCACCUCUAAGGAAGAGAGCACAGAGGAAACACUGAGAAGGCUGUCUCCAGCAUCCCCCACCAGCUUAGCUACUGAAGCCUUGGUGAGGAAGAAAGGCCCAGGCUGCUGGCACUGGGAGGACUGGCAGAGACCAGGCACCUGCUCAGGCCCAGGCAGGCGAGGACCGUGUGGGUUUCACCCAUUAGAGGCUUCAUACAAAUGCACAAGCAAACACAGCGCCAACAGGAAGAUUUGUCAGGAACACCGGGAAACUGAACACAAAAGGUUGCAGCACCACUCGGGCAUGAGAUUGUCAGGCUACCUCCAGAGAUGCCAGACCCUUGGUUUGCUGAAUAUGUGCAGAUCUGCACUUCAUUGCUCUAGCCAUUAGCGCUUAACACUAAUGACAUGGCAGCUAUGAGGGGAGAAAUUAGAGACCUUUACUUCAGUUAAGGUGCCACUUUCUCACAAGGAGGCAGGGUAAUGGCAGCAGGCAUGCAGCUGGUGGAAGAACCACAUACACGCCUCCCAGAGGUCUCCUCACAGGACAGUCCAGAGAUGACCAGGCCUUCUACUUCCACGCUGACUACGUCCCUCAGCCUCGUGGGAAUUCAGUCUGAGGAGGUUGCAGCUGGCUCUGGGCAGGACACACUUGGCAUGUCAGGCUGUUGGUAUAUAACACUCCUGGGGUCGCCCAACCACACGUCCAAGGCCAAUGGACUCCAGUUCAUAGAUGUGAGGUGUGUGCAGUUGUUGCUAGUGGAAUGUGCCGUCAGAUGUCAGUCCUGGGUGUCUAAGAUAGAGGAGCAAGUGAUGAGCUGGAAGUGCCAGUUACCCACUGUUAUGAAAGUAUGAGUUUUUUGUAAAAUUGAUUGUUUAUCCAGUUUAUGCAAAGAUCGUAAAGUUCCCAUAAAGGGUCUCUCAUUUCUCCCCUCGUAGCUGCCAUGUCAUUA